GCUGGGCGUGGUGGCACAUGCCUAUAAUCCCAGCUGCUUGGGAGGCUGAGGCAGGAGGAUUGUGAGUUCAAAGCCAGCUUCAGCAAUUUAGCAAGGCCCUAAGCAAUUUAGUGAGACCCUGUCUCAA
rnacentral:sRNA from 1 species